UACGAAGGGGGCUAGCGUUGCUCGGAAUCACUGGGCGUAAAGCGCACGUAGGCGGCUUCUUAAGUCAGGGGUGAAAUCCUGGAGCUCAACUCCAGAACUGCCUUUGAUACUGAGGAGCUUGAGUCCGGGAGAGGUGAGUGGAACUGCGAGUGUAGAGGUGAAAUUCGUAGAUAUUCGGAAGAACACCAGUGGCGAAGGCGACUCACUGGCCCGAUACUGACGCUGAGGCGCGAAAGCGUGGGGAGCAAACAGG
rnacentral:rRNA from 1 species